AAUGACUAUACCUGUUUAAAGUGUAGAACGAACGUAGUGUAUUCCUAUUUUGACUCUAUAAUUAGGCAUGUUUAUUACCCUGACAUUGUCUUUGCUCAGACUAUGGUACUCUAGUUGAUAAGCUAUUAAACCCUAUCACACGCAAAAUAUUGUGUCAGAAAUUGCAAAUUCUCAAAUCCCUUGCUUCAUAGGGAAAUUAAACACGCUUGCAGGGCUUUUGUAGUUGUUUUUAACACAAAAAAAUUAGGAGUGGUGAAUUGAUUUUCAGAGAGGAUGGUGGAAGAUGCAGCUGAGAAGAUGUGGACGAUGCAGUUGAGAAGAAUUAAAAAAACAGACACUGAGCCCUGCACACGCAAGAAGCAUUGGCAAAAAUAACAGAGGUAUAUGUAAAGAGCAUCAUUGACCGAGAUCCAUCGCGGCCAUUGGAUUAGAACACACUUGAAUGGUCUGAUGAGGAAGUUGAUGAACGGGUGGACAAUCUUUUGAAACUCAUAGAGAGAGGCCACAAGUUCUGGAGCUCAAUGUUUAAAGGUGGAGCUACGAAGAGCGAUGUCCAGAGAAUGAGGGAGGAUGCAAAAGCACGUGCUAAAGAAAAUAAGACAAGUAAACUACCGGUGAACACUGGCACUGUGGAGAUUGACAACACUGCAUCUGUUUUGUUUGAUAGAAUCAAGCCGGAGCUAGUGCGAAUUGAUGGGAAUGUCUCCUCAGCCAUGACAGCCGUAAAAGAUCUAGAAAGGAAACUAGACUUGAUACAUGGGUCAAUUUUUGCAGAACCUGGAGGUUGAUUGAGAAAAAGAAAGAAGAUUUUAGUGAUGUGCUUGUCUUUAAAACUGGAUAUAUGGUUUUAGUGAUGGUUAAUAGAUGGUUAAACCGGUUAGUUUGGGUAGAAACCAAAUUUUCUGAUUUAAACCAGAUUUUGCACUUGAAAACGAGAAAGUUUUGUUUGAAACCCAAUUGUGUUGAUGUUGUUGAAGUGGAACCAUUCACUGGGAUUCACUGAUAACCGCAAUGUUGUUGAUGUUAAACCAUUCACUGGGAGGAUUAGAAGGUUGUCGAGCUAUCAGUUCUGACUAUGUGGCCAUAGAAGCCAAGGUUGUAGCUGUUAUGGCAUAUGAAUUCCACCAUACCUUGUAUGUUGUGAAUUGCGACCUGUCUUACUCUACUCAAGUGUGAUAAAAUUUGUGUUUGUUUGAAGUUGUUGUGUGUUUAUCUGUUUCUGUGUGCUAAGACUUUGGGUGUGUUAUGACUUUGUCGAAAACUGACUUUAUGUUU